UAACCUCCUACUGGAAGAAAUGGGGCAUCACAUUGAGGACCUUCAGAAGAAUGUAAGUGAUUUGAUGGUGCAGGCUGGGAUCGAAGCUUCUGUGAAAGAACAAAUGGAGAACUGCUCAAGGACGUAAGAGUACAGGUGCGGAUGUAGAGCAACAGAACCUCAAAAUGCCAAUCCCACAGCAUGGGUGAUGGAAAGAACCUGCUGAUGAGGAGAGGGGGAGCCAGCACUUGCCUUCCACCACCUCACCAUGAAGGGCUGCGCCCCAGCCUGGACAGCACAUUGACGGGCAGUCUGUGUCCUAACCUCUCCAGCUCUUCUGUUGGUCAGUGUUGAAAAUACAGCUUUUCCUUUCCAAAUCACA